AGGACAUCCUCCUAGGGACAAGGAAAACUAUUUCUAUUAAGAAAUGAAUUCAAUUUCUUAUCAAGAAAUCUACUCUAUCUUCUGUUAUUUCAGGGCAAUCUGGCAUGCAAAUAGAACUAACCUUUAUGUUAGCAUAACUACAAAAUUCUGUUAGGCAGUGUAAGUCUGUAGGGCAUUUUAUAAAUAGAAGAUAGAGUAGGUUUCUUGGUCCAAGAAGGAAA
rnacentral:misc_RNA from 1 species